AAAGUCGUACUUUCAGGGAUCAUUUCUUGAGUGCAUAUCUUGGCCUCUCGAGGCAACCUUGACGUCCUUCGUCAGUCCGAUGAUGACAGAUGGUGUCUCUCUGGAGCAUCAGAGUGCAAUUGAACUUCUGUUCGAUUGUGUCGAUCAUUGCUUGCCUUUUCAGAAAAAAGAGAGUUCGCAGUUUGAGGGCU